AUAACCAAAAGGGUGAAAGAUUGUUAGCUAAAACACCCCAAUGGUGGCCGGCCCUUUGAUGUGUUAGAGAGCUUUUUCUUUUGCCUCUUUGUUGUUUAAACACUUCAAAAAACCCUAAUGAACUUUAUCACUAUAAAGUUCCUUAUAUAGACAAAAGAAAACCUAGUCAACACUUGACUAAAUAUCUCUCCUUCCCCACAUAAUAUGGCCGGCCCUCUUUGUGUUGUUUGGGCUUUGGGCUUUCAUUUAUUUCAAGUCAUCCAAUGCUUGAAUAAAAGCCCAAUGGGUUUAGGCCCAAUGGGCCCAAUUAAACCCGAACGUUUCUUUAAGCCCAAAACGAUCUUUAUCGCUUUUAUGAUUUCUUUAGACUUUUCUAAAUUAAUCACAACACAUAAUUAAUCCAAUUAAUUGUUUCCAUCAUCCAUUAGUUACUCACCACAAUAUUGUUUUGGUGAACAAUCUUUUAGGUUCUAAUUAGCAAGGCAGUGAGGUGAUUGACAUCAAUCCAAUUGCUUAUAUUUAAUUCAAUCACUUAGUGAAUUAAAACUUCAUUUUAAUUCACCUUUCUUCUUUGACGACUACAUUUAAUCAUCUAGAAGAACUCACAAGCUAUGAGUGACAUCUAACCAUAUGUCAUAGCUACCCAAGCUAAUGUAGAAGUUUAUUCGAAGAACCUAGUCAGUUGGAAUUACAAUGUAAUUCAAUCCUUCUCUAAUACAAUACUCUCAAUCACAUCAUUAGGGUAUGGAUAUAUCAUGUCAAACCCCUAAUGUGAUUAUUCCUUCAUAUAUGAUUCAUUUGAGUCGUAUAGGAAUUCUUUCCAUUCAAUACGCUCGAUACUUCGGCCGAAGAUUCCCGAAUCAUAUCUUAGAGUAUUCUUCCUCUCUUAUCGAGGAUUAGAGAUUCCUUGUUGCGCAUACACUUGCCUUCAUGACUAAGUGGCUUAACCCCAAUUAUGCCGUGGACACCCUCGAAUGGGGAGACUUUGACAUAAUCAAAGAUUAAGUACUUAACCACAAGACAACGACGAUGCCUCAGGUCUAAGGAUUACUUACAUCUUUCCAACCAUUAGAGUUACUUGCUUGAUACGUGAGUAGACCUCCAUGCAAGUACACUCGUUCGAUUGUGUUCAGCGAACUUAUUCCCCUAAUGAGCACCUACAUACUUGUCUUAGUGUCACAACACGAAUGGGAUGAGACUUUCCAUCCUUCCAAUUGAAGCAGACAUAGUAUGUACCGGUCUACGCAUUGUCAGUAUCCCUCCGACAAUCCAACGACCAGGAACCUUUUGGACACAAUGGUUAUGUGAAGAAGGUCUCUGUAGUUUAACAUCAUUAGAUUACUUCUUCAAUCGAUCCAUUGUCCAUGGAUACACUAUUUAGGACAUAUAUCGUUAAUUGAGAUAGUCCUAAUUCGUGUCUUUGCCAUUUGAUGUAUAAGAAUCAUCCAUACAUCGAUUCAUUUGUCCUGAAAGAUUUCUUCCAAAGAUUGACUUUCAGGGCAUAUUUCCAACAAUCUCCCACUUGCACUAAAGUCAAUCACUAGUGUAUCUUAUACAUCUUGUUGAGAGAGUUUAUGCUCGUAGGUUAACUUGGUUAUGUAUUAAUCUCUUUUAUAUUUAAAAGGGAUUUACUUAUCAAAUGUUUCCAAGACAUUUGAUGAUGUCUCUUUAAUGUGUUCGAAUACUUUGAUGAGACCUUGAUUCCAUGGCUUGAGCUAUCACCCCAUUACGUCGUAGUACUCUACUAACGACCUUAUGGUUUGAAUUCAAUCAUGGGUUCUAAAAGAACCCCUUUCAUUCAAACAACCUUUUGAAGCAGUUUCUAAAACUAUAUAUCUACAUAUAUUUCGUUUGUAUACUUUAUACAAACUUUGCUCCAAGCUUGAGACCAUUGUAGUACAAUACUAACAAUUCAUUCAUAUGAUUAGUACUUCAUCCAUUAUGAAGUUCCAUUUGUUAAAAUGGCUUAUUUUCACUUUGGUUAACAACCUAAGUGAAUGCACGCUUCUAGAGUCCCACUCUGAUGUUUCUUUCUUAAAGGCAAUAAUACUCUAUCAGUUGCUUUGGUUCUGAUCCUGGGAUAUAGUAAUAUCUUAAAGUGAUAAACCCAGUGGUUUCUUCACCUUUGGAUAUCUACUUCACAAGUCAAUACAUGUGUCCUUUUUGUGAUUUUAUGACACAUUCAUUAUAAGGGUUAUGAAAGUGAUUUCCUAUCCCAUAGGAAAAUGCUUUCUUAAAUCUUCAACAUUUGAGAUUUAAUUCCCAUAUAACAUUAUUGAGAUAGCCUUGCUAUAUCAGUAAGUCCAAUCUCAAGUCUAUACUUCAAAAUUGACCAUGUCAUGUUUUGUCAUUUUUCGAGUAACAUCUAUGCUUCAUCAAGUCUAUCAAAUAGACUUUAUUCACAUCUUGUUGCUCAAAUUAUGACAUCACUCCCACUGGCCUUGUUGUAACUUAGCAUUCAUUCAAAAUUAACAAUUAUAUUUUCUUGAUUUGAAUGCAUAUUGCUCCCACUUAAUUUAAAUGAAUCAUACAUAAAAGAAUUCCUUCUCAAGCAAUUCCAUGAAAUGUGUGACUUGCUUUAUCAAAUCUAUUCAUUUAAAUUAUAUGGUGUCAUACACCAUACUUCAAGUUUUAGUCAUACUAAGACCUUUAAUGUAGUCAUAUAAGAAUUAUCUAAGUCUUUAGUGGAAGCAUGGCUCCUACUAAGGAUAUAGAAACUCAACCAUUCCUUCUAGGUGGUUGAUAUAAUUCUUUAUCAAAACUACAUAGAGCAAUAUCGUUACAUGAGAUGUUGAAUUUGGAUUGUCUUGUUGUUAAACCAUAUGCUGUGACUCAUUUUGAAACUUAUUCCCUUUUGUUUCAUCAACUUGUCCAUAUGCUUUGUUAUUAGCAUGUUCUCUUAAAAGAGAAUGAUGGACAACUCCCAACAUAUAACCAUUUUAUGCUAGGUUGACGAAACCAACAUUCAAAGACUAUUCUUUAAAUGUUACACAACAUAGAAUUUUAACUUUUGAAGAGCUUGAGUCCUUUUAACAAUUAAAAUUACAAACUCUUAAUAAUAGUCAAGUACUAUUAUUCUUUAGACAACUAUAAACCAAUCACAUUCAAGUUUAUAUCCAUUUUCACACCUCCCACUAUUUCUCAUGACUUUAAUGAGAAAUCAUUUCAUACAUUCAAAAUGUAUAAAAGUGGAUUAUAUUGGUAGAAGACAUUGUGUAGUAGCUUUGAAACAUUUCAAGCUUAUUUGUUUCAAUCUUCACUAAGUUUAAUGUCUUGUUAUUUAAGUGACUAAAGUCUUUAAACCUUUUAUAGAUUUAGACACUUCUUUCUUGGUUUAAUCACUAACACAUUUGACAUUUUAAAACAAUUUUAAGAAUGCCCAAUUAAUUGUUCAAAACUACUAAUUGAAUCAAGAGUGAUCUUGAUCAUUGUGUUUCAAGUGAUAACCAUAUAAGAAACGUUUUUCUUAUUACUUAUAUCAUUAUAAUGUGAUCUUCCUUUUCUUCAAGAAAUGAUUCUCUAGACUUUUGUCAAUUCAUAUAGAACUCAUAAGUAGACAAAUGGAACCAAAUCUAAAGAUUCAUUGUAUCCUUUUAUGUCCUACAUGUGAGAUCUAUCCAUAAUUGAUAAAUCUAAAGUUUGGUUUAUCACAUUACAAUUAAGUGAUAUAACUCUUGUAUCUCAUCUAGGAUACAACAAGACAAUUUUCAAUUCAUAACACUACUUUAAGGAAAUAGUAUAUUAAAAAGGCAUACUUCACAUUACAUUAAUAUGAUAGUUCAAACAUUCAUAAUGUUUAAUACAAAAAGUAUUAGCUCUAUACAUUUAGAGACUAAUAUAAAUACCUUUAUACAUUUAGGCACUAUAUAGUGGUCUUCCAUCACAUGAAGCCACAUAAUAAGUUCUUAUCAAAAUAAGAAAGUUUAAAGACAAUCUUUAAUGCCUAACAAACUUCCUAAGUAGUGAGCAAAAACAUAGUGCCCGAACCCUUCACCGCAUUUUCUUUGCUUGUUCUUCUUCUACUUGGCUUCUCCACCUAUAUACAAUUAUACAAGUGAUUAGCUCUUUAUAUCAAAUAUAAAUAUUUAGAAGAUCUAACAUUUAGAAUUGAAGAUAAGGACAUAAACCAUACCUUGUGGCUUGUCCUUAAGACUUGCAAGGUAUAACUUGCAAUUCCUUCUCCAAUGCCCCUCCUUUCCACAGUGGUGGCAAGUCCCUUUGGGCUCCUUUGCCUUCUUUUUCCUCACUCCUCCUUUCAGCUUAGGAGUGGGUGACUUCUUCUCCUUCCCUUUGCCUUUGCCUUGCGGCAUGGCCUUGGAAGAGGAUGGCUUGUUGUAGGCUACUGCAGCAGUCCCUACACCGCUCUCUUUCUUCAUAGUCUUCUCAGCAGUUACUAACAUGUUUAGUAACUCAGAGAGAGUACUAUCCAUCUUAUUCAUAUUGUAGUUCAUUACAAACUGAGCAAAUGAAUCAGAAAGAGAAGCCAAUACGAAGUCUUGGGCCAAUUCCCCGUCAAGUGGAGUUCCAAGGUUCUCCAAUUGUUCAAUGAAUCCUAUCAUCUUCAGUACAUGUUGGUGUACUGGAGCCCCCUUGACCAUCUUGGUCUUUACAAGUUCACAAACAGUGCUAAAGCGACGGUUGCGCGUCCCUUCGCCAUAUAACUCCGUAAGAUGGAGUAGUAUGGAAAAUGCACUAUCCAUGCCCUCGUGUUGUCUCUGUAGCUCCUCAUUCAUGGAAGCCAACAGAUAGCACUUGGCUUGUAUAUCAUCCUCAACGUGCUUGUCAUACUUAGCACGUUCAUCCUCAGUAGCCUCAGGGCUAAGAGGUAUGUGAGGUGGAGGCUUAUCUAGUACGUAAACAAUCUUCUCCAAUGUUAGGAGAAUCUUGACAUUACGAUACCAUGAUGGGAAAUUGUGCCCCUCUAGGCAAUGUUUGUCGAGUAUUUUCGCGAGUGUGCUUCCAACCAUAUCUAUAUACAUAAACAAAUAAAAUAAUUAGAUUGAUUGUUGUUUAAGUCAAACGAUUCGGGUCUUUAAACCGAAUGACACCACCCACCAUUUUUGGCAAAUUGCAUAUCCCCCAUAAUGGAAUCCGGGAGAUUUCAAAGAAAGCUCCUAGCGGGUUAUGGGAGGCUCACUAUUACCAAGCCCACCUCACGAUGAUACGAUGUUUGGCUAGCAACAAUAAUAAUGAGAGGGUACAAUUACCCAUUCACAACAAGCUCUUGUGAUUACCCAUCCUUUUGGCCUCUAGAAAAUAAUACCUCACGAUGAUACGAUGUUGGCAUUAUGUUUCUUAGUUAAGUUCUUUCCCAUCAUGCCGGUUUAGCUAGGGGUUCAAGCAUGACCUCACGAUGAUACGAUGUUGGCCAUACUCGUUGCCUACCUUAACCUCAUCAAUUUUUUUAAAUAAACUCCUCCUGAAUAUAAGCAUGCACUUUGUCACUUCCCCAUGAUAGGGUGAAGGCGGUGUACAAGUCAUAAACGCUUGGAGCCUACCACGGUGGAAGGCCACGAAAACGUGUUCUAAGCACUCUUACGCUUUCAACUUAAUAUUUGUUUGGUUGAGGGAUUUUAAGGUCUCAUCAAUUUUAUUUAUUUAAUCACAAUCAAAUAAAUAAUGUCCUAUUACAACUACUAGUCCAAAGUUAAUGAAAUUAGUAGCAUAUGAUAUCCCCACUAUUCGUUUUCAUAAAACAAAUCAAUAUCAAAACAUUUUUCAAAAUAUUGGAGAUAUAUAUAACUACUAAUUGUAUUCACUAUAAUUUAGUAGCGUAUGAUACUCCCACUAUUUGUUUUGAGAAAAACAAAUCAAUAUAAAAAAAACGAAUUUUUCAAAUAUUGGAAGUAACUACUACUACUAAGGUUUUUGCAUUCCUUUGAAAUUGGACUUUAUAGUUAUCUUAGGUUCUUGGAUGACUAUGGACUUAAUAGGUUAUUGCAACAACGAGCCAUCAUUGUUGAAUAUAAACUCGGGGAGGUUGUGUCAAUUUAAUUACGUGCUUAUCAAUCCAAUUAAAACCAUUUUCAUUGAGCCAUUAGAAAUGAAAGACAAUCAUUCAUUGCUAAUUUGGGUAUUGGACCCUUUUAAUCUUUAAUCUCAUGUAAAAACCCUCUUUUAGUUAUGUCUCCUUUACCAAUAGUUAAAGAAACUCUAGUCUAGCACUAGAGGGAAUCCACUAACGAAUAGAGAUUAAGAAGUAAUAAGAAUUACAAACCGAUUUGUACAAAUUCCUAUAAUUACAUAUACUAAAAAGGGGAGAGAAAGAUUAACGUCAAACGUGACAAGGUCCAAUUAAACAGUAAUUAAAACACAUUCCCAAGGUUCAAACAAUUUGAUUUUAGCGCCUUAUCAUAUAGCUCAAUUAUCGUUUAAGGCAUAAGUCCAAAGUCAUCCAUUUCAUAACUACUUAAACACAUUUAAAUAAUCAUAAAGGAAUGCAACAUAAACAUUUAGAUUUAGUGCAUAUGGGCAUAAUAGUAUUAUGAGUUUAAACAACUAACAAAAUUAAAAUCAAAUAUUUUAACUUUCUAGUUAGUAGGGGCCUAAAUGUAAAUAUGAAAAGUUAGGGGUAAAACCGUAAAUAUUUCAAAGUAAAUAUCAACUUUUCAAAGAUUACAAAAUAGCCCCACAAGUGGAUAAAUCCACUAGGGAGGCCGGCCACUUAAUGGGGGAAUGGGAAGUCUCACCCACAUGCUUUAAUUCAAUGCAAAGUAGAAAAAUCAAAAUUUUGCUUGUCACUUGGUUUUGGCAUUUAAAACUUAGGUGAAAAGGUUUGAUGGAAAUCUCCUAGUCAAGUCCAGGGUUUUAUAAGUAUAUGAUAUGGUUAUGGAUGGUAUGAACAUCACCCAAAACCACAAAACAAUGCAUUAAAACCAUUUUCAUCAAAAACCAAACUAUGAACACCAAGAACAAAACCAUGAACACUUUUUCAAGAUUUGUGUAUUCUUGGUGAUUUUUCAAACCCAAAAACAAAAGUGACAAGGUUUAUUCUUUCUAGCUUUAAAAGGAUGUGAGAGUGGUUUACAAUAAAACACAAACACAACCCAAAACCACCCCCAAAACCGUGCCAUCCCUUUGGUUCAAAACCCCAAAUUUUGUUCAUGACUUAUUCUUCAUUCAUGCAUCUAAAACACCCUUUUACAUGCAUAUCUUUUUCAACUCUUGAUCUUAUAUUUUUCAACCAUUGAAAAACAAAAGAUAAACAUACUUUAAAAUGAAGAAAUAAUAUGUCAAACUAGUUUUAAACUCAUUUUUCAUUCAUGCAUACAAAACAUCUUUUGCAUCCAUACCUUUCUUAACUAUUGACUAACAUUUUUCAACUAUUGAAAAACAAAAGAUAAACAUACUUUGAAUGAAACAAUAAUAUGUCAUACAUAACAUUAAUACCCAUAUGCAUAAAAUCCAAAAGGACACAUUAUACAUAAACCUUUGGCUCUGAUACCACUUGAAGGGAAAUCUAUGAGAUUCAUGUAUGGGAUUUCUAAAUGACUAUCAUGCAUAUCCAAAACAAUUAUGAUAUACGAAAGCAGCGGAAGCAUUUAUAACAUAUUAUCAAAGCUAUAGUCAUGCAAAUCCCCUUCAAGGUUCAUAGGUUUAUAUAUAAUGCAUCAAAACAAAUUAUAGAAUCAAGAACAAAGUGAAGGUUAGUCUUAUACCUCUUGAUCUAGACUUGAGACCAAGGAUGGACCACCUCCAAGCCCUUUGCUCCUUGAAAUCCUUGAGCCUAGCUUCCCUGCUUGCCUUCUCCACUUUGAAAGAAUGAGUGCUCCUAGGUUCUCUUCAAGUUUCCAAAGUAGGAAACCUCUAAAGAUCCUCACCCACUAGUGUAGUGAGAAGGAUGAAGGAAUAACCAAAAGGGUGAAGAUUGUUAGCUAAAACACCCCAAUGGUGGCCGGCCCUUGAUGUGUUAGGGAGCUUUUUCUUUUGCCUCUUUGUUGUUUUAAACACUUCAAAAAACCCUAAUGAACUUUAUCACUAUAAAGUUCCUUAUAUAGACAAAAAAAACCUAGUCAACACUUGACUAAAUAUCUCUGCUUCCCCACAUAAUAUGGCCGG
rnacentral:lncRNA from 1 species